rnacentral:rRNA from 1 species
AUUGAACGCUGGCGGCAUGCCUUACACAUGCAAGUCGAACGGCAGCACGGGAGCAAUCCUGGUGGCGAGUGGCGAACGGGUGAGUAAUGUAUCGGAACGUGCCCAGUCGUGGGGGAUAACGUAGCGACAGCUACGCUAAUACCGCAUACGAUCUAUGGAUGAAAGCGGGGGAUCGCAAGACCUCGCGCGAUUGGAGCGGCCGAUAUCAGAGUAGGUAGUUGGUGGGGUAAAGGCUCACCAAGCCGACGAUCUGUAGCUGGUCUGAGAGGACGACCAGCCACACUGGGCCUGAGACACGGCCCAGACUCCUACGGGAGGCAGCAGUGGGGAAUUUUGGACAAUGGGCGCAAGCCUGAUCCAGCAAUGCCGCGUGCAGGAUGAAGGCCUUCGGGUUGUAAACUGCUUUUGUACGGAACGAAACGGCGUGCUCUAAUACAGUUUGCUAAUGACGGUACCGUAAGAAUAAGCACCAGCUAACUACGUGCCAGCCGCCGCCGUAA